UACAGAGGCCUCGAGCGUUAGGCGGAAUCACUGGGCUUAAAGCGUGUGUAGGCGGACUUCUAAGUGCCUUGUGAAAUCCCACGGCUCACCCGUGGAACUGCUGGGCAUACUGGGAGUCUUGAGCCACCUAGGGGCGAGCGGAACAAAUGGUGGAGCGGUGAAAUGCGUAGAUAUCAUUUGGAACGCCAACGGUGAAAACAGCUGGCUGGGGGUGUGCUGACGCUGAGACACGAAAGCCAGGGGAGCGAACGGG
rnacentral:rRNA from 1 species